CCCCUAGAUGUUCUGGGCCGCACGCGCGCUACACUGAACAGUUCAACAAGUCUUAACCUUGGCCGAUAGGUCUGGGUAAUCUUUGAACGCUGUUCGUGAUUGGGAUAGACCUUUGCAAUUAUGGGUCUUCAACGAGGAAUUCCUAGUAAACGCAAGUCAUCAGCUUGCAUUGAUUACGUCCCUGCCCUUUGUACACACCGCCCGUCGCACCUACCGAUUGACUGGUCCGGUGAAAUCUCGGGACGGCGGCUUGGUCGCUUGCGUCCGACUGCUGAAACUUGAUUAAACCAUAUCAUUUAGAGGAAGGUGAAGUCGUANCA
rnacentral:rRNA from 1 species